rnacentral:lncRNA from 1 species
CCAGCCCAAUCCAUAUAGGGAACAAUUUUGUAAUUGCAGGUUGCAGUGAUUUGUUCUUCUGGCUUGGGGAGGAAGCGUACAGACAGCAGAGGGAGAAGAUGAUACACCGAAAAUGGAGUCUACUAACUGGUCCAGUGGCAAUCUUGGGCGGGAUCGUUGCAACGGUGGUCGUCGCCAACUUAAUCUUCGUUAAGGAUGUAAAGUUCUCUUCUCUUUUCCUUCGAUUUCCAAACCCUAGAUUUUAUAUUUGAGUUUUGGUAUCGGGGGAAUCGAAGGAUGUAUUUUCAUUUAAGAUUUCGAUUGAAAUUAUUCAUUGGAAUGAUUUGCAUUCGGUUUUAUUCGUCAUUCUUAUAUCUAAAUCGUAGGAGACAUCUAAACCUUUUGGCUAUUCGAUCGUGUCUCUGAUCGUAAUCGUAAAAAUUAGAUUUGUUUAACUUAGUUGUGAAUUAAGAAUAACACUUUUUGAAUGAUUGUGGGAGCUAUCAUUCUUUGUUAAAAUAAAGAGCGUCGCUCUCUGUUUAACUUCUGUUCAAAAAAUAUUAAAUGGAAAAACCUGUUCUGUCAUUCUUUAGAUGUUGUUAAUUAUUAGCUAGGUAGUUGAGUUUCUUUGCUGCAAUGAAAGCGCCAGUAGAGCCAGUAAGCAACGUGCACACCUGCUACACAUUUUUUACUUGAACUAAUUUCUUUAGCUGGAUUAUUUCAUAAACUGCUAGUUAUUCAAACCAAAGCUUUUUAUGCAGGGCGUAACCAUACACAUGCUAACACAUUGCGAUAUAUUUGAAAUUUGCAGGACCCAUUUCUUAAACCAAAGAAAAAGAACCAAGAUUCACCACCAUCAACCAAAUAGAACAGAAGCAAAGUGAAUUGCUUAAUGGAUGUGUUGUAAGCUUUUCAGGUGGUUUGUGUUUGUUGAUUAUUUUUCUAGCGAAACAAAUGUUUAAGCUGCAUUUUGGUACAAGGCUCUUCUUAGUUCAAUAAAGUGGAGUUCAUGAUCAAGUUUAGUAAUUUCUCUUCAUUAUGUUCACCAAAUUGCUGUUGUUAAAUCUUGAUUGAGCUACCAUGAGAGCAAGAAAAAGCAAAAUUCAGCUGUUUUUCCUUGUUCAGUAAUGAUAAUUUUUGGGGUAGAUUGCCGAGUAGGAAUACUAUGAAUUUCUGCGUCGUGUUAGCGUAUAUCCACUUUUAAUUCAUCAAGAAUGGUUAUUAAUAAUUGAUAUGGUAAAUUUUAUUCUCUUAAAAAGAAAAAUCUUAGUAUCUUCUGGGUAUAUGAUUCACUGGUAAACGUUAUUAUUAUUAUUAUGAUUGCCUUUCAAUCCUGAGAAAGACUCCAACCCCCCUUUUCAUAGGCUGGAUGUAGCUAUUUCCACUACUCCAUGAUAAGCUUGCGUUUGAAUUAACCUUCACUGCGACAGGUGAUGAGUUGUGACUACGGUUAGGUGUGAAAAAAUAUCUUUCAUUUGACCAUCAAUGCAUGUGAUUUACAUAAAGUUAACACGUAAUUUUUCUGUAUGUUUCAGGGGAAAAUAAUCUAAGGAGUAAUUUUUCCUGAAGAAAAAGGGAAAGAGGUAAAAAUAUGAUGUAUAAACAAUGGUACAAUGAAAUAAUAUGCCCCAAAGAAUCACAAUCUCUCCCUUCACAUAUGCGAACUGCCUGGUGAG